UACGGAGGGCGCAAGCGGUGUUCGGAAUCACUGGGCGUCAAGCGCGUGUAGGCGGCUUUGCAAGUCGGGUGUGAAAUCCCGAGGCUCAACCUCGGAACUGCACUCGAUACUGCUUGGCUCGAGUCCCGGAGAGGGUGGCGGAAUUCCCGGUGUAGGGGUGAAAUCCGUAGAUAUCGGGAGGACCAUCAGUGGCGAAGGCGGCCACCUGGACGGUGACUGACGCUGAGACGCGAAAGCGUCGGGAGCAAACAGG
rnacentral:rRNA from 1 species